AGACGAGUCGUCGAAGUACGCCGAGUUGCCUCCCGCCCCGAGGCAGAGAGGUCAGCCAAGAGACAGGAGGCACGUCGAGUCGUCAUCGACGCCCAGCCCCCAAGCCUGGGAGGCGGACGAGUCAUUGAAGUACGUCAAGUCACCGCUCGUCCUAAGCAAGAGUGGUCAGCUGAGCGACGAGAGGCACGCUGAGUCGGCGGCGGCGAGCCCUCGAGCCUGGGAGUCGGACGAGUCAUCGAAGUAUGCCAAGUUGGGACCUGUAAUAUAAAUCUUGUGGUGUAUCAAUCUGUGUGAUGAAAUAUGUGAUGAAAUGAACUUAAUCGUAUGCGGCUUGAGAAAAAGAUGCCUCAUCCCUCCUUUGGCACAUACGACAGGACAACAUGUAGCUGAGGCCUGUAGCCA
rnacentral:lncRNA from 1 species